rnacentral:rRNA from 1 species
AGUGAACGCUGGCGGUAGGCCUAACACAUGCAAGUCGAACGGCAGCACAGUAAGAGCUUGCUCUUACGGGUGGCGAGUGGCGGACGGGAGAGGAAUACAUCGGAAUCUACUUUUUCGUGGGGGUUAACGUAGGGAAACUUACGCUAAUAUCGCAUACGACCUACGGGUGAAAGCAGGGGAUCUUUGGACCUUGCGCGAUUGAAUGCGCCGAUGUCGGAUUAGCUAGUUGGCGGGGUAAAGGCCCACCAAGGCGACGAUCCGUAGCUGGUGUGGGAGGACGGUCAGCCACACUGGAACUGAGACACGGACCAGACUCCUACGGGAGGCAGCAGUGGGGAAUAUUGGACAAUGGGCGCAAGCCUGAUCCAGCCAUACCGCGUGGGUGAAGAAGGCCUUCGGGUUGUAAAGCCCUUUUGUUGGGAAAGAAAAGCAGCAGGUUAAUACCCCGCUGUUCUGACGGUACCCAAAGAAUAAGCACCGGCUAACUUCGUG